AUGGUUUUCCAUGUCAUGAUUCUUGUGGGGGGUGUUCAGAGAGCAUCAUGCCAAAUUUUCUAUGAUUGUUUUGCUUUUUGUAUUGGUAGUUAGUUAUGAGGUCAUAACUAUCUUGUUUCAUUCACUAUAUAUUGCUUAACAAAUAAAUAUUUUAAGGAUGUAAAUUACAUGCACCAUACGUGUAUUGUGAGUAUAAUAAAUUAUUUGUAUGAACUUUAAACAUGAAUUUCAAAUUUUAGCUCAUUUAAAUGAUUUGU
rnacentral:lncRNA from 1 species